CCAAUGGGGGGGGGGGGGGGGGGGGCGAGGGCGAGCACUCUCGGGCCGUUUGCUUUUGUCUUUGCUCCAGCACUCCUUUCUCGUACGUUUCCCCCCCCCCCGUGUGAAGGGAAGUUGAGAGGUAAAGUAGGAAGAGAGGUGUGUCACUCUCCUUGCCUUUUUUUCUGUUUUUUCAAAGCCCUCCAGGAUCCCCCCCCCCCUCUGCACACUGUGCUCCAGAGUGGCACCUUUUUAAACAUUUGCAUACCAGGGUUGGGGUCCCCUCCCGCGGUCGGCCCUGCCUCUUACUCCAAAAAAAACUCCACCCAAGGCUGUUGGGUGGUUCAUGUGAGAACUUUGCAGUGUGUGUUUGGUCGAGCACUCGUAGAAGAAGAUGGCGCCUAGAAAUGUAUCGCCCUUCGAGCCUGCUCACCGCUCCCAGUACUUGUUCCGUGUCAUAUCACAAACUUCCAUGUCUGCUGUACAAUGGUGCUUCGGGGAACGAGCCGUACCAACAGAUUUAAAAGAUUUAUUUAGUUCUGAGAAAGGCCAUGGCGUUGGUGAACGGCGGGCGCCCCCUCAUACUCGCCGGCGUCUCUGGCCGGUGAGAUCCGCUCUUGUUGUUGUUGUUGUUGUUGUUGUUGUUUUCAGAGUGGACCCCGACCUUGCUGACCAGCCAUAAAAAUUAAAAGAGGAGCCGCUGAGUACUUUCUGGUUUACAGAGAACGAUGGGAGACUUUAUUGAUUUAAGACCAGUGGGAUUGAAUGGGAUUUAAAAAGAGAAACUUGAUGUCACUUUGGAAAGGCCUGAUGUCACUUUGUAUGGUUUGAUUGAAAUGCUUGUUUGCCAUUUGUUUUUGUUUUUGUUUUAUUGGGGUGUGUGUGUCAGAAUGUUUGCUAUUGUAUUUGCUUUUAUUCUUGAGGACUGUGUUCUCCCCGGUAUCAGUCUGUCAUCCUACUCCACCUGCAAAGAUGUAUUUGUUUUUUUUUAAUACUCCCAUCUUUGUUUUAAACCCCGCCCCUCCUCAGCUCUCCCUCCCCCCAUGAUUGGGCAGAAGGCCGGUGUGUUGUGCCGAAGCUGUCAGUCAUGCUUCGAAGCGGGUGAAACCGACUACCACAGAAACUCUACACCAGCUUCCCGCCUUAAAAGCCCCCUACCUCUACAACACCCCCCCCCUCCCCCUCAGAUGCCUCACACAUGAUCAAGAGUUGCACAGGACCUUGUAGGUGGCUGGAUUUCAGAAUGCUCGAUGAGAUUCCAUCCAACUCCGUGGGAGUGUUAGAUGAACAUGAACAGUGCCUGCUGACGGCUCCGACUCUUUAUUUUAGGAAAAACCUUCCCCCCCCCACCCCCCCGCAAGCCGACAGACUGGACGUUAAAGAGCUGAUGUGAUGAAUGAUGCUGAAACUCUGCAUGGAGGUGUGAAGAUAAUUGGGUAUUCAUGGGAGAACUCUGUAGGUUCCAGACAUGUACAAUGCUAAUGGAAAAUAUCUGCUUAAAUAAAAAAAGAAGUGAUGAUUAAAACUGGAAAUCUGAAUCGCUACCUGGUUUGUGUGGUGUGUAAUAAGAUACUGAUCGUCACUGACUGAUUUAAUCAUUUGGCUCCCACAAUAACGCUUAUCAGAGAUAAAAACAAGUCAUUUUAUAAGCGCUAACCACCAAAUACCUUGUGAUGACCUGUGAUGUAAUUAUCCCCGAUGAAAUAACCAAGCAC
ensembl:lncRNA